AACGUAGGUGGCGAGCGUUUAUCCGGAUUUACUGGGCGUAAAGGGUGUGCAGGCGGGUCAUUAAGUGGUGUAUGAAAUCGCCCGGCUCAACCGGGCGAGGUUAUGCCAGACUGGUGGUCUAGAGAGCGAGAGAGGGACGUGGAAUUCCGGGUGUAGUGGUGAAAUGCGUAGAGAUCCGGAGGAACCCCAGAGGCGAAGGCGGCGUCCUGGCUCGCAUCUGACGCUCAGACACGACAGCAUGGGGAGCGAACGGG
rnacentral:rRNA from 1 species